rnacentral:rRNA from 1 species
UUACGGUCAAAUCACGCUGAAACACCGGUUCUCGUUCGAUCACCGAAGUUAAGCAUCGUAGAGCCAGGUCAGUACUUAGAUGGGGGACCUCUUGGGAACACCUGGUACUGUAAG